rnacentral:rRNA from 1 species
ACUCCUGAUGGUAGCGGCGGACGGGUGAGUAACACGUAGGCAACCUGCCCUCAAGACUGGGAUAACUACCGGAAACGGUAGCUAAUACCGGAUAAUUUAUUUUGCAGCAUUGUGGAAUAAUGAAAGGCGGAGCAAUCUGUCACUUGAGGAUGGGCCUGCGGCGCAUUAGCUAGUUGGUGGGGUAACGGCUCACCAAGGCGACGAUGCGUAGCCGACCUGAGAGGGUGAACGGCCACACUGGGACUGAGACACGGCCCAGACUCCUACGGGAGGCAGCAGUAGGGAAUCUUCCGCAAUGGGCGAAAGCCUGACGGAGCAACGCCGCGUGAGUGAUGAAGGUUUUCGGAUCGUAAAGCUCUGUUGCCAAGGAAGAACGUCUUCUAGAGUAACUGCUAGGAGAGUGACGGUACUUGAGAAGAAAGCCCCGGCUAACUACGUGCCAGCAGCCGCGGUAAUACGUAGGGGGCAAGCGUUGUCCGGAAUUAUUGGGCGUAAAGCGCGCGCAGGCGGUUCUUUAAGUCUGGUGUUUAAACCCGAGGCUCAACUUCGGGUCGCACUGGAAACUGGGGAACUUGAGUGCAGAAGAGGAGAGUGGAAUUCCACGUGUAGCGGUGAAAUGCGUAGAUAUGUGGAGGAACACCAGUGGCGAAGGCGACUCUCUGGGCUGUAACUGACGCUG